UACGUAGGGGGCUAGCGUUGUCCGGAAUCAUUGGGCGUAAAGCGCGCGUAGGCGGCCCGGUAAGUCCGCUGUGAAAGUCAAAGGCUCAACCUUUGAACGCCGAUGGAUACUGCCGGGCUAGAGUCCGGAAGAGGCGAGUGGAAUUCCUGGUGUAGCGGUGGAAUGCGCAGAUAUCAGGAGGAACACCAAUAGCGAAGGCAGCUCGCUGGGACGGUACUGACGCUGAGGAGCGAAAGCGUGGGGAGCGAACAGG
rnacentral:rRNA from 1 species